rnacentral:tRNA from 1 species
UAUGAAUUGCCUGAUUAAAGGGUUAUCUUGAUAGGGUAAAUUAAAUGAAACGCCUUCAUAUUCAUAA